UACGUAGGGGGGCAAGCGUUGUCCGGAAUUAUUGGGCGUAAAGAGCGUGUAGGCGGUCCGGUAAGUCCGCUGUGAAAGUCCAGGGCUCAACCCUGGGAUGCCGGUGGAUACUGUCGGGCUCGAGUCCGGAAGAGGCGAGUGGAAUUCCUGGUGUAGCGGUGAAAUGCGCAGAUAUCAGGAGGAACACCAAUGGCGAAGGCAGCUCGCUGGGACGUGACGACGCUGAGACGCGAAAGCGUGGGGAGCAAACAGG
rnacentral:rRNA from 1 species